AAACUACUCCCUCCGUCCGGAAACACUUGUCAUCAAAAUGAAUAAAAGAGAAUGUAUCUAAAUGUAUUUUAGUUAAAAAUACAUCCCUUUUUAUCCAUUUUGAUGACAAGUAUUUUCAGACGGAGGGAGUAUAUA
rfam:Triticum aestivum genome assembly, contig: Triticum_aestivum_CS42_TGACv1_scaffold_229412_3B